UGCAGUACUGUUUAAUUUUCAUUUGAUUUCCAGAUUUCAAGGCUGUUUAUUAUAUUGGUACGUCUUUGUAUUCACAGAAGCAUGCACUAGGACCUUGGGAUACAUUGGGUCUAAGAGAAAUAUUUUGAGAAAUUAGUAAUAUUUGAGUGAUUUAUUUACAAUUUUUAAGAAUAGAGAAAGGAUUUCUCAAAAAGAAAAUAAAAAAGAUGAUUAAGAGAAAAUGAAAGUUAAGAUUAUUGGUAAAUCAAGAAUCUGGGAAAUUUUACAAAUCAGAUAAUUCCUGAGAAAUGCAGUGAAAUUUUGAGAAGCUGGCAACAUUGAUUAUAAUCCUAUUUUUUAGCAACGCUUUUUUUGUUCCUUAAACCUAUGAAAUGCAAAGAUGUGUAUUUCGUUAUUGUCGGCUUUUAUGUUCUUGAAGUUCUGGCAUUUGUUGGUUGGCAGGAACAGCUAGCUAAGCUGUUCAGAAUUUAUUCCUGCUUGAUAAGGAUGAACAGUUUCAAAUUUUACUAACAGAAAUCUGGAUCCCUAUGACUUACAUUUAGGAAAUAGAUUUUUUAAAUUUGUUUUUUAUUUUUAUUUUAUAGCCUUAUUUUCCAAACUUGUUAUACUAACAAUAAUGAAUAGUAUAUUCUGCAACAGCAGAAGGGAUGUUGGUCAAAAGAAACAUUUUUUGGGAGAAGGAGUAUGAGAGCUGGAGCACGCUCUGCAGUGGGGAGAGAAGUGGAAGGAGACACCACCAGUUUAAACCAGACUGGAUGAUCUGGCAAGCUCUGGCUCCAGAAAGGAAGAUGGAGAGGGUCGGUUUGUGCUGGAGUCCAUCCUUCUUUUUAUACCACAUCUUCUCCUGCUCUUAUAGUGUGAUGUAUAUGUGACAGCAGUUCACAGUACCCCAGCCUCGAUCUAAACUAGAUUCAACAAGCUCCAUGAGGUACAUAAGAUACUAUUAUACAACACUAUGCAUGUAGGAGUUGCCUUGGCUCAUUAGAGAGCCAUAGAGCACCUUGUCAAAGGAUCACCGUUGGUCCUGUGGUCCACCUUCCCCAGUCAAAGCAAGGCCAAAUUCUGGUUUACAUUUUGUUGCUCGAUAAAAGUCCAGUUAUAGAAUUCAAAGAUAUACGGCAAGAAUCACAUGAAUAAGUCAGUGAAUGAACCAGUCUAUUAUGUUACACAGAGGACAGAGACAAGAACUUCACUGACGUGGCUAUCACUGGUUCUGCAAUUGACAUUGGGAAGGUUU
rnacentral:lncRNA from 1 species